ACGAACGCUGGCGGCGUGGAUAAGACAUGCAAGUCGAACGCUGACUUCAGGGUAGCAAUAUCUUGAAGUCGGAGUGGCGCAAGGGUGCGUAACACGUGGGCAAUCUACCGUGAAGCCUGGGAUAACUCGCUGAAAGGCGAGCUAAUACCGGAUGUGACAAUUUGAAGGCAUCUUCGAAUUUUCAAAGUUGGGGACCGUAAGGCCUGACGCUUGAUGAUGAGCCCGCGGCCUAUCAGCUAGUUGGUGAGGUAACGGCUCACCAAGGCUAAGACGGGUAGCUGGUCUGAGAGGACGACCAGUCACACUGGAACUGAGACACGGUCCAGACACCUACGGGUGCAGCAGUCGAGAAUUUUUCUCAAUGGGCGAAAGCCUGAAGGAGCGACGCCGCGUGGGGAUGAAU
rnacentral:rRNA from 1 species